GUGAGGAGAAAGGAGUAGGAAGGCACAGAGGAUGUAACUGGCAAAAACAAAUAAGUGAGGUAGACAAAAAGAAUGAAUCUAAUGGCUUCACCUGACUUAGGUGCAGUUUUAAGGGGCCUGACUUAGGCCUGGGGACUUAUGUUUUGAGCUGGGCUCUGUUGGACUUUUUGAUGCGGGAGUGAUGAAUCUAGCAGGAAUGCCGCCUACUUUCAGAGCAGUUGGAGUCGUGAGGAUGACGGUGUGAGGUCUUUUCUAAGCAGGAGUGAGUCUUUCUUUUUGGAACUUUUUAACAAAUGCUAGGUCUCCUGGCUGGAAUGAAUGGCAGGACUUUUUCUGGUCAGGAAUUGGAUUGGGAAGGGCUCCUCAAACAAGUGGCAGGAUAAUAUCUUGUACCUGUUGGAGAGAAUAUAGGUACUGUAAUAAAUUAGUUUGUGAUAUUUCUGCUAAUUUCACAUCUCUUCACUUAGGCAAGAGAGGCAGCGCCUUCUUAUACAUGAUUUCAAAGGGUGAGAACUUAGCGUGGUAAGGGGUGCACCUUACUUUAAGUAGAGCUAAAGGAAGGAGACUUACUUAAUUUACACUGGUUUUUAAGAUUUUGUAAGAGUGUUUUUUAGGGUGUGGUUCAUGCGUUGUACUUGCCUGGAGCUCUGAGGUUGAUAGGCACGAUGGAGCUUCUAUUGAAUGUUUAAGGCCUUACUGACUGACUGAGCUAUAGGCGACGUGAAGGCUGUUCUAUUAUCAGACUUUAUGGCAGCAGGCAGCCUAUACUGAACGAUGAUUUCAUUGUGUAAAAACUUAACUACUGUGUUGGUGGUUUCGUUUUCGGUAGCAAAUGCCUUAGUCUAUCUGGAGAAGGUGUCUACUAGUACUAGAAGGCAUUUGUACUUAGCCUGGUGUGGUUUGACUUCUGUAAAGUCAAUUUCUUACUUUUUUCUUGGCGAGGUUUUUCAGAGACAGUGGCCUGGGCUGGGUUUAGGACUUUGUUUGGCAUUUACUUGGGCGCAGGUUGUGAACUGGAGAGCUGCUUAAUCUGUUAGGCUUUGAAGACGGGGGAUCUUAAAAUGGCUCCGCAGGAGCUGAGGUAGCUUUGCUCUUUUUAAGUGGGUGGUAGACUGUAGGUGACGGACUAAAUUUUCUUUAAGGGUUCAGGAUAUGAAGCGUCUAGAGUCAGGAAGAAUCUACUAACUUUCCUGAUUUUUAUUGACUCUGAGAUCUGAAGCCAGUUUUUUGUUGUUGUUGUUGAGUGUACGGGAUUGUCAGGCAGAUCUGGCUGUGGAAAGGAGACUGUGGGCAGCAAGUUUAGAGGCGUGACUGAAAGUCUCGCUGCGACCUGAGCUGCUGAAUCAGGUUUCUGGUUACUAUGGGCAACGGCCGUGUUUUCUUUUUGAUGUCCUUUGCAGUGGAUCACAGCUACCUGCUGAGACAGACAAGGAGAGGGUUUCCUGUGAUGGGAUCAGUCAGAUGCCUGCCUGGCCACUCCCCCUGAGGGGACCUGGGCUCCUCUUACCAUUGGCAGGCCGGUAUAAACUUGCGGCUCAGAUCAAGCUAUGCCUGAUGCUGCCUUAAGCCUUAUGAGGUCGCCAAGGAACCGCAGGUGAGGAUUCAGGAGAUAAUUCUGCAAACAGAACUUCCUGAGAACUGAGAUGGGGGAAAUCGCUGGUAUUAGAAGAGUGAAAAGAAACUCCUGGAGGGCAGAGGCAUGCCUGCCAUCUUCAUCAAUGCAUUACCACCACCCAACACUAUCGGGGGACCUGCCCUGAUAAUCAGUUCCUCCCACUGAAGAAUCGGAGUAUAUUUCUCCAGUCCCUAAUGUUGGGUUUUGAAUUGUGUCUAGCUCUGGCCACUGGAAUAUUAAUCUGUAUGACCAAAAACUUGGAAAGUGUGCAUUCAUUUGUGCUCGCUUACUCCUGCUAUCACCAUGAGAACAAACCCAGUCCAGACUGCUGCUUCCAGCAGAAGAUAAGACAUACCAAGAGCAAAGUCGAGCUUCCCAGACAUGCUCAUGCUAGAUUGACUAAUCCUCAGUUGACCCAUAGAUCCAUGAAAAUAAACGAUUGUUGUAUUAAGCCACUGAGAUUUGGAGUGACUUGUUAUACAGCAUUUUGUGACAACAACUAACUGAUACAAGGGUCACUGUCCUUUAUCUCUGUAGAUUUUAACCAAUUUUUAAUAGCUAGAUGGAGAUCUUCUAGUUGCCUUUAUUUAUAAUGAAUAUGACUGUAGAGCUAGUUUGGCCUGACACUACCAGUAACCUACCCAGAAAUUCAGAAAUACUUUCUUCUCCAACCCGCCCCAACCAACCUUUUUUUGUUUGUUUGUUUUUGGGUUCUCCCUCUUUGCCUAGGCUAGAGUACAAAUGGUACAGUCAGAGCUCACUGUAACCUCAAAAUCCUGGGCUCAAGUGAUCUUCCCCUUCAGCCUCCUAUGUAGCUAAGACUACAGACAUGUGCCACCAUGCCUGGCUAAUUUUUUUAUUCUUUGCAGAGAGAGGGUCUCACUAUAUUGCCCAAGUUGGUUUCAAACUCCUGGCCUCAAGCAGUCCUCCUGCCUCACCCUUCCAAAGUGCUAGGAUUAUAGGCAUGAGCCACCACACCCAGCCUCCUCUUCUUUUUAAAUAGAAACCUUAUUUUAUUCUGACAGUGGGUUGCUUUCUUUUUUUUUUUUUUUAAGAAAAAGUUGGCCCAGCCCCAGGGAAUAAAUUUUGACUGCUCUAAACAGGGUUGGCCAACUAUAGACCAAGGGCCAAAUCUGGCCCUCUGACUAUAAAUUAAGUUUUACUGGAAUAAAACCAGGUCCAUUGAUUUAUCCAUUGUCUACAUAUGCUUUUAGGCUACGAUGGCACCACUGCGUCACUACAACAGAGGUUAUCUAGGCCAAAAGCCUAAAAUAUUACCAUUUGCCUCUUUAUGGAAAAAGUUUGCCAUUCCCUAGUCUAAGGCUUAGAUUCUGAGCUUAUCAUUUUAGCCUACCCCCCCUUACCAG
rnacentral:lncRNA from 1 species